rnacentral:rRNA from 1 species
AACGCGAAGAACCUUACCUGGGCUUGAACUGUAGGAGAAGAUAACAGAAACGUUAUCGCCGCAAGGCUGCUACAGAGGUGCUGCAUGGCUGUCGUCAGCUCGUGCCGUGAGGUGUUUGGUUAAGUCCAGCAACGAGCGCAACCCUUAUCGUUAGUUGCCAGCGAGUAAUGUCGGGAACUCUAGCGAGACUGCCUAGGUCAACUAGGAGGAAGGUGAGGAUGACGUCAAGUCCGCAUGGCCUUUAUGUCCAGGGCUACACACGUGCUACAAUGGCCAGUACAGAAGGUUGCCAACCCGCGAGGGGGAGCUAAUCCUAUAAAGCUGGUCUCAGUUCGGAUUGCAGCCUGCAACUCGGCUGCAUGAAGUUGGAAUUGCUAGUAAUGGCGUGUCAGCUACAACGCCGUGAAUACGUUCCCGGGCCUUGUACACACCGGUAUCUC